AAGUGGUCUGAAAAAAAGUGGAGGUACCUCAUCACCCCCCAAAGCUGCCCAUGCCCCUGCCCAGCAUUUAAUUCUGCCCCAACUGUGAAAUCACAUUCCCUGAUUCUAAACACCUCCAUCUCCUUCACCUGAGGCUCAGAAAACUUCCACUCCAGUUCACUACUCCUCUAAGGAGUCCUCCAGCUAAAGACUCAGCUGCUGUGAAAAUAAAC